GAAUAUUGGACAAUGGGCGAAAGCCUGAUCCAGCAACGCCGCGAGCAGGAUGAAGGCCUUCGGGUUGUAAACUGCUUUUGUACGGAACGACAAGGUUCGGGUAAAAACCCGGGAGUCAUGACUGUACCGUAAGAAUAAGCACCGGAUAACUACGUGCCAGCCUCCGCGGUAAUACGUAGGGUGCAAGCGUUCAUCGGAAUUUCUGGGCGUAAAGCGUGCGAAGGCGGUUUUGUAAGACAGAGGGGAGAUCCCCGGGCUCAACCUGGGAACUGCCUUUGUGACUGCAAGGCUAGAGUACGGCAGAGGGGGGUGGAAGUCCGCGUGUAGCAGUGAAAUGCGUAGAUAUGCGGAGGAACACCGAUGGCGAAGGCAACCCCCUGGGCCUGUACUGACGCUCAUGCACGAAAGCGUGGGGAGCAAACA
rnacentral:rRNA from 1 species